AACGAACGCUGGCGGCGCGUUUUAAGCAUGCAAGUCGAGCGGCAAGGGCCUUCGGGCCCCUAGAGCGGCGGACGGGUGAGUAACACGUGGACAAUCUGCCCCCCGGCCCGGGAUAGCCCAGGGAAACCUGGAUUAAUACCGGAUGAGACGGGACCCGCGAUGGCGGGACCCGGAAAGGCGCUGCGGCGCCGCCGGGGGAUGAGUCUGCGUCCCAUUAGCUAGACGGCGGGGUAACGGCCCACCGUGGCGACGAUGGGUAGCCGGCCUGAGAGGGUGGACGGCCACAUUGGAACUGAGACACGGUCCAGACUCCUACGGGAGGCAGCAGCUAAGAAUCUUCCGCAAUGGGCGAAAGCCUGACGGAGCCGACGCCGCGUGAACGAAGAAGGCCGUGAGGUUGUAAAGUUCUUUUCGGGAGGGGAACAACCGUGGCAGGGAAUGGCCGCGGGAUGACGUGAAUCCCGGAAUAAGCCCCGGCUAACUACGUGCCAGCCGCAGC
rnacentral:rRNA from 1 species